CAUUCAGUAGAGGGAAGAUGCAAAGCCCUCUCUACCUGUGGAUCUCAUAUCACCUUGGUGGCUUUUAUGCAUUCUUUCUGCACUGGUUCAUGGAAAAUAGGAAUAUUGUCACUGUCUUUAUUCUCCUGGGACUUUCUCAAAACAAGAACAUUGAAGUUUUUUGUUUAAGCACCAGGAAAAAAUCCUAAGGAGAGUACAUAACAACAAGCCUGAACCUGUGGAUCUGAGAGAACCAAAAUUCAGGAAGAAUUUCUGGAGGUAAUUCUUGGCUAUUUUAGAUAACAACUUAUAAACAGAAUAUAGAAUACAGCAAUAC
ensembl:lincRNA